GCGCCCAUAGCUCAAAUGGAUAGAGCGACAGACUACGGAUCUGUAGGUUGAGGGUUCGAUUCCUCCUGGGCGCG
rfam:Candidatus Schekmanbacteria bacterium RIFCSPLOWO2_12_FTLL_38_15 rifcsplowo2_12_scaffold_39, whole genome shotgun sequence.